rnacentral:rRNA from 1 species
AUUGAACGCUGGCGGCAGGCUUAACACAUGCAAGUCGAGCGGGGUGAUGGUGCUUGCACUAUCACUUAGCGGCGGACGGGUGAGUAAUGCUUAGGAAGCUGCCUAUUAGUGGGGGACAACAUCUCGAAUGGGAUGCUAAUACCGCAUACGUACUACGGGAGAAAGCAGGGGAUCACUUGUGACCUUGCGCUAAUAGAUGAGCCUAGGUCGGAUGAGCUAGUUGGUGGGGUAGAGGCCUACAAAGGCGACGAUCUGUAGCGGGUCUGCGAGGAGGAUCCGCCACACUGGGACUGAGAAACGGCCCAGACUCCUACGGGAGGAAGCAGUGGGGAAGAUUGGACAAUGGGGGGAACCCUGAUCCAGCCAUGCCGCGUGUGUGAAGAAGGCCUUAUGGUUGUAAAGCACUUUAAGCGAGGAGGAGGCUCUUUUGGUUAAUACCCAAGAUGAGUGGACGUUACUCGCAGAAUAAGCACCGGCUAACUCUGUGCCAGCAGCCGCCGUAA